rnacentral:rRNA from 1 species
GACGUAGGGCGCGAGCGUUGUCCGGAAUCAUUGGGCGUAAAGCGCGUGUAGGCGGUCCGGUAAGUCCGCUGUGAAAGUCGGGGGCUCAACCCUCGGAUGCCGGUGGAUACUGUCGGGCUUGAGUACGGAAGAGGCGAGUGGAAUUCCUGGUGUAGCGGUGAAAUGCGCAGAUAUCAGGAGGAACACCAAUUGCGAAGGCAGCUCGCUGGGACGUUACUGACGCUGAGACGCGAAAGCGUGAGGAGCAAACAGG